GCCGGGUGCGGUGGCACACACCUGUAAUCCCAGUGGUUUGGGAGGUUGAGGCAGGAGGAUCAUGAGUUCAAAGCCAGCCUCAACAACUUAGAUAAGCCCUAAGCAACUCAAUGAGAACCUGUCUCUA
rnacentral:sRNA from 1 species